CCUUGACCACAGCAUGUAGGCAGCAAAAUGCGAUUGCCUUGGCUGUGCAACGGCGACAAUCGCCGCCGGUGGAGAAACAAUGCUUACGUAACGCAGCCAAUUAUGCAAAAUGCAACGUAUGUCCACGUGCAGCACAGCGGUGCAUCUUCUAUUCUCUUAGCGUCGCGUGUAUCCGCCUGGCGACUCCGCUUCCUAACGUCGCUGAACGAUAAUGCUCAUCCAAACAUGCCGCGAGACUACGAUCAUUGUUACGUAAAACCUGCCCAACAGGAAAACGGAAUCGCCUUCGUUAACUAAGGGAGGACGUAUUUCUGAUGGCGGCUCCCGGAGUCGAGGUUGAAGUUCAAGGUUACAGACGAAGAGGCUACGUCAAACCCUGUCUACUAAGAAAGACGAAUCGAUAUGUACCCGGUGCUCCGCAAGUAGAAUCAGACGGCAGAAUCUGACAUGAAUGCAGGUGGUUGAAAUUACUUGAGUUUUUACGACGAAGAUUUCGACGCAAGAUUCAACCUUUUGCGAUGUACUUUUAUUGGCGAUCGAUUUUUCAUCGCGAUCUUGGCGCACAAUUUUCUACUCAUUGAUUCUCUGUAACGAUUCUUGAUAAAAACUGAUAAA